UAGAAGCGUUGGCUAAGAAGCAUGGAUGCACUCCUGCUCAACUUGCGCUUGCAUGGGUUCUUCAUCAAGGAAAUGAUGUUGUACCUAUUCCAGGUUAGUCAAUCAUGUAAAAGCCUUAGCGUUAAAAACUAUAGUAGAAACCAUGUUUGACGGAUUGGAAAUGUAGAGUAUUAAAGAAAUUGGAACUAUCUGUUUAAAAAUCUUUGCUGUUACCCUCACAUCAUAUUUAUAUUGAGGCAUUUAAUUCGUUUUUAUGAGCGUAAGAAUAUUCAUAUUAAAAGUAUAUCAAUGUGGAUUGUCUUGGAGAUUUGUGAAUUGAACUGGAAUUGUGACUUAGACUAAGCUAAACGCCAAUUGAAACCAGCCAACCCUCCCCUCCCUGUUUUUCGCUGUAAAAUUGGAAGUCUCUAUUUAGCAUCCCCAUGAAUUUCAGGUACCCUCAUUAUGGAUGGGGUUGAAAACCAACAUUCUUUUUCAUAGAUAUCUAAUUACGUAACUCCUUUUCUUUUUACCCUUUCUUUCAAGGAAAUGGAAGGGAUAGAAUGAGAGUAAAAUUAUCGCAUGCUCGUGCAGUUUUUUGUUAAUUCAGGAUUAUGAGAUGGGAAAGAAACAGAGGUCUCGUCACACGUGAAUAACUGUACAAAUAUGCCUAUAAUAUUGGAGUAUGAGAUGAUCGUCCCUGCCCUUUGGAAGUUCAUGUACUUGAGUAUGAGAUGAUCAACCUUUCCCUCGUCUUUCAUGAGUCUUUUAGUUUCUUAUUUAGAUAUCAGUAUGCUUCUUGGAGGUGUCGAGAUAUACAUACGAGCUUGUAAAUCUCUUCAGAGUUAUUUUUCUCUUAAUUUUCCACCAUAUUUAUGUGCGUAGGCCUUAUAAUUAACAGCCAUUUGGGCCAUUUCACCCUAGAUAGGGAGAUUAGGAAAGACGGAUCGUUAAGUGAGAUUACUCUGGAAAAUUGUUAUUAUUUGCAGAUGCUGUAAAAUAAUUUUCUCCGAAAUCAUACAUGCAAUGGAUGCCAGUGAAAUGUGCAUUAUAUCGAUAUCAUGAAUUUGAUUGUUUUUAAUGAUAAUUUAUCUUGCCAAUCUUGAAAUAUUGGUGUAGGUACGACCAAAAUUAAGAAUCUUCACGAUAAUAUUGGUGCUCUGAAAGUGAAGCUUACAAAAGAAGAUUUGAAAGAGAUUACUGAUGCGGUUCCCAUCAAUGAAGUAGCUGGGAUGAGAAGUUCUAAUGAUGCUUUUCAUCGGAUCACGUGGGAAUUUGUGAGGACACCACUCCCAAAAUGAACCAGUUAAAUGGAUAAUAUUUGUAUAUUAUGUUUUGAAAGAUCUUUGUCGUAGUUGUGUUGAUAUUUCCCGCAGUUUCCUUUGCACACUUCUAAUUCCCUUUUGUACUUUUCCCAUGUCAUUAGCUUGUGUUGCUGAUCACGAAUAAUAUAUUGCGUGGCUAUUUAAUAAUUGAACCCUUCUCUUCUUUUUUACCAGCUUAACAUGUUAUGGUCAUCUUAUUAAUCAAAUUAUUUUAUAAUUUUUAUUCCUUUUGUCUGAGUAGACUUUCUAUCUAUGCAGCUUGUAGGUACAUGUUUAAAAUGCCAAAUGCCAACCAUCAGGAGGUUGGUUCUCCGUAAUGGAAGGACUUUUUUUAUGCAUGAAAUUAACACACUUGUUACACGAAAAUGAACAAAUUUAUUAACUAAUGCUGUUUCAUUAUUUCUCUUCAAACAAGAAAAAGAAAUAUUUAACUUGAUCGUGUCCUACAUUAUUGAAAUUUGCAGAAUUUUGAGUUGCUAUUUGCUUUUAUUUGAUUUUAAAUAUAGUAUUUAACGAAUAUGAUUGUUAUCUUAGUGAAUUAAAUGGCCGAGUUACAAGUGUAUAUGCUUGGUUAUUUUUUGUAUUUCAAUGAAAUGUGUGAAUUGUUUAUUUUCUGUUUUUUGGAUUUAUAUAUGAAACUUACAGGAUGUGUAAUUUUUACGUAAUCUGGUAAGAUAAUCGUGACAUUGGGUGUUUAUUUAUUCGUCUUUAUGUUGUUUUUGAGCGAUGUAGAUUACUUAUUUCAAACUUCUCUGAUUCAAUACCCAAUUUUCUUCCAGUUUUUUGGAAUUAUAAUUCCACUUGCAUAUGUAAUUACUACUAUUAGGCUAUGGUUCGAAUAUAGUUACAUAAUUCAAUGAAUUGCAUUGAUUUCUUCCUAAUUAAAUGUGGAUAAUUGUUAUUUUUAUUUUUUAAAGAGACAAGAUUAGCUUUUUAUUUGUUUGUUUACAUUCUUUUUUGAGUUAUGCGAGAAAUAUAUUGAAUUUGGAAUUGCAUCAUUUGUUGUUAUACCUGAAAGUGAUAAAUGUACACAAGUCAAGCUUGUGAACAUGAUACGUUCGAAGGUGAUAAUAAAAUUAAAGUGUCAAGUCAAAAAUAGGUCCAAUGAUGAUUUCAGAUACGUAAUCGGUAGCUUUUUAAUUGUAGCUUAAAAUGAUUCACGAGCUUUCUAGUGUGAGUAGAACUUGAACCUCUUUUAAAUAUAGAAGUGAAUGGAUCUUUUCUGAACGAGGUCGGCCCUAAGCCAAGGGCAACUAGGCAAUGGCUUAGGGUCUCAUAUUUAAUGGGGGCCUCCAAAUAAAAACCGUGGUAGAAGUCCAAUUAAAUUAUUAUAAAUUUAAAAGAUGGAUUAGUUAAAAAUUUAUUUAACAAUAAUUUAUUUGGUUGAUUCUAACUUAGUUCAAUCUUAUUUAAAAUAAAUUUUUCUUGAGUUUAGCAUAAAUGAUUAAUUACAAGUUAUCAAACGAGUCUAAUAUUAUUAUGGUAAUAUGAUUUAAUUUGAAAAAUAAUAUUACACAUUCAGUAAUUUACUUUAAUAAGUUAUAAUUUGAAUUUGAUUUAAAAUAAUUUUUUCAUGAGUCCAUAAUGUCCAUAAUAUGAUUUAUUAAAAAUAACUUGAAUUUGCUACUUUAUCUUUUAAAUCGUACCAAGUCUUUGUUUAAAAUGUAAAUAUAUGAUUUAUUUAAAUAUUCAAGUAUUUUUACGAAUGUAAAUUUUCUCUACGUUUAAGGGCCUCAUAAUAAUGAGUUGCUUAGGACCUCAAAAUUCUCAAGGUCGGACAUCAAAAUUCUCUGGGCUGGUAGAACAUGAUUGGGAGUGGGUUAUCAAAUUUUGAAUUUGAUGAUGGACGAGUCACUCUCAAAUUACCGACGAUUGAAGAUGUUGGUUUUAAGGCUAUGUGAAAGGCAUACCAGAUCUCGUGACCGACGCUGUCUUGUUCUUGUUAUAAUGUAUAUAAAUUUUUGAAAUUGUAACGCAUACUAUGUGAUAAUCCUCAUUCUGAGAAUGUAAUUUUUAACUAUUUAAUUUGAAAGUGUUAGUUCAAUUAUAAGUUACAAGGACUGAUAUAGUGGCUGAUUUUUAAAUUUUUCUAUAAUUCAUGUACGAACUAUGUAAUGAGAGCCUCUCCAAUUGUCGUGUAAAAUAGAUAUAAAUUGUGAUUUGGAAUUUUGGAUCAUCAAAGUGAUCAAAAACCACUCCAAUGGAGAGAUGCAAAGGAAAUGCAUAUUGCACAAAUAGAAAACGUUUUUUUUUUUUUUUUUUAAAAAGUACAUUUUUUUCUUUUUUUUUGAAUCCAUUUCAAUCAAACAUUUUUCAAUAAAAUAAUAUUACAUGCAAAUUCAAAAUUUUUCCUUAUUUUCCAUCAAUAUACUAUUCAAAAAUACAUUUUUUGGCAUUUAAAAAAAAAAAAAAUUUUUUUUUUUUUUUUUUUAAAAAGUACAUUUAUAUCUCUUUUUUUUUUUUUUUACAUCCACAAGAGGCAAAAAAUUGAUUUUGAUCUUUUCAUUGUAGCAAAAUUUGAAUUUAAAUCCAACGGAAUGUAAAUGACGAUGCAAAUAUAGUUUUGAAAAUACAAAUUUACACACAAUUUUACACCAAAAUUGAAUACGUUCUAACCAUAUUAGUUCCCAUGCUUUAGUUGUGUAAUUCAUAUUACAAACCAUAAUCAUAUUACAUGAUUGCAUUAUUAGUUUGUUAAUUAUAAAAUUAAAGGUAAUUGUAAUUGCGAUCAGGUGUCUCUCUUUCGCCAAUAAAUACUCGUAUUUAGUGUAAUUUGAAGACAAUUACAAUUUUGAUAAUUUUUUCUCCAUUACAAACUUGAUUCCCAUAUUUUCUCCUCCUCUUAGCAUUACUCCUGCAUUCAAAUUAUAACUGUUCCUUUGACUAACUUGAGCGUUGUAGCGUGCAGCAUCGAAGUCCCCCGCCUCAUUUUUUAUGUUUGGAGAUGCUAUGAUCAUGCGCAUCUAAUGUGUAUAUUCCAAGUGCACAAGUAACAUAUCAGGAGAGAGGAGUAGAGUCAAGAUUUAUUGACGAGCUGUGUCAUUAUUAGAUUCUGAGGUCAGUAAUAAAAGAAAAUAAUGGUGUACUAUAAGUUUGUAACUAGGUUGAAACAAAAAUACUGUCUUGUUGAUUUUAUUUGAUCUCACGAUUAUUGUUUUGCUUCUACUAUUUCUCUUGAUUUGAAUAUAUUGAUAAAUAUUAUAAUUAGAAACAAAGAAAAAAAUGAAAAAGAGAGAGACGCCUACACGGCUCAUGAAAAAAGAGAAGGAAAAAAGAAAAAAGGGAUUAUUGAAGGGAAAAGAAAGAAAAAUUUGACCAGUCAUCUUGAUUUUUCGUGUACCCAUUAACCGCAAUUCACACGUGCCCUAAUACAUGUGAUCAUUAGAAAGUAAAGAAAAAUGGAAAGGAGGAGGGACAUGUGGGUGGUCUUGGUUUUGCGUGUUCAAAUUAGUGAUUGUUUAGAUAUGAAGUCCAAGAAAGAUUCCAUUUGCCUCCUUCAAUAAUCUUUAUUUUCAUACCAAAGUGACCAAUUGCUUUUAGAACUUUUAUUAAAGUAGGGGUUUGAAUUUCAUUCCUCCAUCUUGGAGUCACUUUUCAAUUAAAUUAGUAAAAGUUAAAACUAAAAUUUAUUAUGGUUGUAAAUUAUUUGAUUGCAAUGUAUCAUUAGAUUGCUUGGUGGAACAAGUGAUGAAAAUUACUUAGGAGACAAAAUUUAGUUAUUGUUAUAAUUAUUUUCAAUGAUGAGGUGAAUGACAUGAGCCAUGUUUCAAUUUAAAUAUUUUAACGUUUGAGCGACAAAAUAUACAAUUUCUAUUGUUAUAACUAUUUUCAAUGAUGAGGCGAAUGACAUGAGCCAUGUGUCAAUUUAAAUAAUUUAACUUUUGAACGACAAAAUAUACAAUUUCUAUCAUACGGAAGUAUGCUAGAAAGUUUUUGAUAUGUCGCAUAUUAACUCCAACUCCAGGUGGAAUUUACCCUCGAAGUAGUGGAAGCCUAAAAUUCUUCAAUUUUUCAUGGGAUAAUUACACUAUAAACUCUCAUCUUUCAAAAUUUUACAUUUACUCUCAACUGUGUUUAAUUUUCCAAAUACUGUAAAAUUCACACACACACAAAAAGGUCUAGGAGCACAAGUGACAAAGAGGGAGAAAUUUUUGUGAUCUAAUACUCUGGAUGACAGUAGAGAACUCUAAUGGCAAUGUGUUUAUGUGUCAAUUUGUUUUAUAAGUUUCUAAUUAUUAUUUUCACAAUUCAGUUGUUUUCACCGUGAUAAGGUCAUUGUUCUUCAAUUUCGAACCGGGGUAGGUGCAUUUGAAUCGAAGUUUUGGCAUGUAUGAUAGGAAUGAUGGCUUAAUGAAUUGUGGAUAUGAUUGUAGAUUAGUGAUGGUAGAUUUUAUUGGUUGUGAAGAUUUUAAUAUAUAUUGAGAAUAGAAAAGAGUUCCAUGUUUGAAUCUCAUUCCAUUACAUUCAAUUUUUUCUCUCAUAUUUUCAACUACACAAUAUUUUAUAAAAUAAUAUUACACGUAAAUCGAAAAUAUUUUUUUCUUUUUCAACCACUUAUUUUUUUAAAAAAGCUCUAUUCGACCAAUUUUUAUUUCCAAAAAUGGGGGACAAACGGGGGCUUAAAAGUAAGUAUAGAUUUAGGCAUUGUUUGAACCCCAUUAUUUUCUUAUUAAAAUGAAAAAUAUAACCGUUAUUCAUUACAUCAAAUCACCAUAUUUGACUUUUUAUCUUUUGUGUAGGACCCAUAACAACUAUAUUUUUCAUUCUUAUUUUUACUAUAAUGUAGCUCAAACGGGAGCUCAGUAAACCUUUUAAAGAGUAGGGGGGUCACUGGGAGAAGAAGAUGAUUUAUAUAUAAUUUAUUUUUGAAAAGAUUAGGGACUCUUAAUGCAAAUUUUCCUUUAUUUGUGGGAAACGAAUCCCCUCUGCUGCUAUUAGCCAAAGGAAGUUUUGAUGUCAAUCCUUCAACGAGCUCUUUGCAUUGUGAAUAUUGUUGUAGCAAAGUCACUGCGAUUAAAUGCCAUUUUUAUAUAUUGCAUAAUGAAGGGAUGGGACAUCUCACUCUUUUUUAUUUUAUUUUUUAUGUGUUUAUUUGAAGGGGUAGAUAAAUUCGUUAGUUACUUUGGUUUAUACGAAAUUUAAUGAGAAAGUUCCGGUUCGGUCCCUAUUUUUUUUAAAUUUUGAAAUUUGGAAUAAUAUUUUUUUGAAAAAAGUGUGGUUGAAAAAGAAUGAAAUUUUUUUAAUUUUCGUAUAUUAUUAUUUUAGGAAAGAUUGAGUGAUUGAAAAAAAAAAGAGAAAAAAAAAAAGAGACUGACGUAAUCCUUGAUGUCGGAAAAGAAAAAUAUUAUGAUGAUAAAUUAAUAACAUGAGGCAAAAAUAUGAGACCACAAUGUUAAAAUUGUGGGUCAGGUCCCCACAACCACGCUGGCGAAGAGACUGACGUAAUCCUUGACGUCGGCAAACCAAACUUUACCUUCCCUAUAUAUAUUAACGCGACCGUGCUGGAUCUUCAUCAACUCGCUAAAAGAAGCACAAAUUUGAUCUGAUAAGCAAGAAGAAAGUUAGACAUGGCCGAACAAGUUGAAAUGCCGCGAGUAAAACUCGGAACCCAAGGACUUGAGGUAUGUAAUAUUCUUUUCUUAAUUCAUUCGAUUUAAUUUGUAAAUCCCAUUUGAAUUUUUGUUUUCGGCCGGAUCCAACGACCAGUGACCUUUCUGAAUCAAAUCUCUGCACAACUUUGCACUUGCGUUUCAUCACGGAACGGAGUGAAUUUUGUGGACCUCUUACAUAUUUGUCUGGGUACUGGUAAAUAAGCGUACCAAUUUAAUUAUUAAUUUGUCUGGAUACUGAUAAAGAAGUGGAAAAAAGCCAUUAAAACUGCCCACCCUCCAGGCGCCCCUGUUUCCAAGCCUGUUUUUGGGCCUGUCCCAAAAGCAGGGCUGAAAUAAGCACCUAUUUGUCAUCUAUUUUCUCCUAUUUUUUUCAUUAUUUUUUUUACAGAACUAAUUUUCAACCACAAAUUCUUCAUUAAAAUAACAUUACACGUGAAUAAAAAAAAAUUCAUUUCUUUUUUAAUCACACAUUUCAACAUCAAUUACUAUUCCAUGAUACAUUCUUCCCCAAAUAGUGUACCAGUUUAAUUAUUAACAUAUGGAAAUAAGGUUCAAGAAAAAAGGACAGAGAAUCUGUUAAAAAGCCUGAUGUAAAGUUAUAGAAAUAUUACUUAGAAUUUGAAGAAAAUCCAAUAUUGAAUCACUUGCAGUUGUUUUCUCAAAGAUGGGACACUCAUUUUUGUCCAAAUACUUUUACAUUGAAUAACACAAGAUUCCCACAAUCGACGAUAAUUUGUAUAGGGAUAUGGGUAAUGGGUGCAAAUUGAUCGGCAAAUUCUGCAACCAUUAAUUAGUUUUCUUCAGAUAAUGUUUUCUUGAAUCUUAUUGCGCUUCAUCCAGUGAUAUAUAUUUUUUAUGGCAUGGUAGGUAUCAAAGUUAGGUUAUGGUUGUAUGGGGCUUACUGGAAUCUACAAUGUUCCUGUUCCCGACGAGGAAGGAAUUGCAAUAAUCAAAGAGGCAUUUAGUAAAGGCAUUACAUUUUUUGACACAUCUGAUAUUUAUGGUGCGAACAAUGCCAAUGAAUACUUGGUCGGAAAGGUAAUUUCUAAGAUACUUAUUUUAGAUUAAAGCAGCACACUUGAAUUUAUAUGCUGGCAACAUACUUUUUCUUCUUUAGUGGUUGUAAGAUGAUGGGAACUACAUAUUUAAAUUCCAAUUUCUUCGAUAAACUGCAGCAUGUUAAGGGAUAAAAAUCCCACAUCGGUUAAGUACCGAAAUAUUGAGUAACUUAAAAAGAUUUUGGACUCCUCCUCUUAACAAGGUUGACCUUAUUAAGAUGGACCUCAAAUCUCCAUUAAGCUCCAACCAACGAUUCGAUUCAAUUAUAAAUCUCAAUUAAUGAGCAACGGAUUGUAAGAUUGGUCUGUUCAAACGAGUCACCAUCUUGCGGAAGCAUAUUAAGGGAUGAAAAUCCCACAUCAAUUAAAUAUUGAAAUAUUGAUCAACUUAAAAAAAUCUUGGACUACUCUUCUUAAUAAGAUUGACUUUAUUAAGAUGGAUCCCAAAUUUUAACAUAACACAAGUAUAUGUUAGUAUGGUGCGCAAAAAAAAAAAAAUGGAUUGUAAAUUUAGCUUCUUUUUUUUCUGAACUUAAUUGCAUUUAAUCUAAUUCUGUGCUGCUUUCGGCACUGAAGCUUCCAAGUCACUGACUUGAAAGUUGUAAUGGUUAUGCUGAACAGUAUAUUACUUUUUUUUUUUUUUUUUUUCAUAAAUUUAAAUUCCAAUUUUCAUCAUUUAUAUAAACUAAAGCAUCAAAAUCUGAUAUAUAUGGCCAACUAUAGGUUUUUAGGAUUCUAGGUUUGAUUCAUUUGUAUAGGUUUGUCAUUUGUUUUUCUAGUAUAAAAUCAGGUCUUCCAUUUACUUAUUUGACUCCGCAAUAGUAAUAACUAUAAGAGAAGAGAUUCAAUGGUAAAGAGAAUUAUAGACAUGACAGCUUUCUUGAAUUUAUAUUACAAAGUUACAAUAUGUGGAGAUGCUAUUCUUUGGAAAGGUGAUAUAAAUUUUGUUUUAAGUUACUCUUCAGUUAUAUUUAACUUCAGCUUUCAGUAUCGAACCAUGAGAUAACUGUUGAUUGAAAACAACUAAAAGUAACACAUAAGCAUUUAUUAUCACAUUUGAGUGAACUUACUUAAGACAUUCAAUUGCUGCAGGCAUUAAAGCAGUUACCUCGAGAAAAGGUUGAGUUGGCUACAAAAUUUGGUGUAUUUAAAAUUGGGGGUCCUGAAGUCAUAGUAAAAGGUUCACCUGAGUAUGUCCGUUCUUGUUGUGAGGCUAGCUUGAAGCGUCUUGACGUGGAUUAUAUUGAUCUCUACUACAUACAUCGGAUUGAUCAGACUGUGCCUAUUGAAGAGACGGUUAGUUUUUCUUAUAUACUUUUAUUUGUGAUAUUGUUCUUAUAUAGCCAUUUUGAUUAGUGUCCAUUGACCUCAUUUUCUCUUUUUUGUAUUCGUCUUUCUUAACACGCUUUCUAUAUCACUUAAUAUUACGUUUUGAUGAUAAACUUGUUUAUGAGCUGCAGAUGGGAGAACUAAAAAAGCUAGUUGAAGAAGGUAAAAUAAAAUAUAUUGGGUUAUCUGAAGCUAGCCCAAACACAAUAAGGAGGGCACAUGCAGUUCAUCCUAUUACUGCUAUACAAAUGGAAUAUUCCCUUUGGACUCGUAACAUCGAAGAAGAAUUUAUUCCACUCUGCAGGUUUUAAUUAUUUCUCAAAUAUUUCUAUUAUAAUGCUGAUUGUUCAAAAUAUUACAUUUUAGGCAAAAAAUUUUGGCAAAUCAAAUUUUAAGAGGGUGAAAGCAGAUGUUGGAAUCUCAUAUUUAUUUUUUCACGACAUAAAGUACUUGAUGUCAUUCCUUCUUCAACUAACAUUGCAAUGUUCAGUUCCUAUUCUCCAAUAUAAUAGUUCGCGUUUGUGUACUUCUCUUGUUGAUGUGUUAAACUUGUAUUUUUGAUGGGUUAAAUACAGUCUUACUUAGGGUUUUGAUAAUUAUUGCUUUUGAUGAGGAUGCUAAAAGUUCUUUUCUUUCUUUCUAACAAUUUUUGAAUGCCCCAAUUCAUCUUUUUUCCAUUACUAUUCAUCAAGUAUGUGUAGUUUUUAUCUUAUCGUUCUCCUCCCUGUUCAAUAAUAAUGUUCUCAUAUAGGAUUUCCUUUUCUUUUUGGAAUGGUUUAUUAGGGAACUUGGUAUCGGAAUAGUUCCAUACAGUCCAGUGGGCCGAGGGUUUUUUGCUGGGAAGGCCAUAGUGGAGAGCUUGGCCCCAAGUAGCAGACUGGUUCGUAUGCUUCCUGUCUUUUAAUUUUAGACAUGUAAACUCUACCUUGGAAUCCAAGAUGAUUUAGUAGUUUCUUCAUUUUAGUUAUCUGUACUUGCUGAAUCGUCGCCUGAUUUUUGUACCAUCAGGCACAUCACCCAAGGUUUACAGAAGAGAACUUAGAUAAAAACAAAGUCAUUUAUUUUCGUAUUGAAGCAUUAGCUAAGAAGCAUGGAUGUACUCCUGCCCAACUUGCGCUUGCAUGGGUUCUUCAUCAAGGAGAUGAUGUUGUACCUAUUCCGGGUAAGCCUGUUCAUAUUUAAUUUGCAUUAAAUAUGGUAGGGUUUGAUGAGAGUUUGGCGUACUUAUUUUGUUAUACUUGAAAUAUUGUGAUUACUUGUCAAUGUUGUCAGAGAUUUUAUGCAAAACCGCAUAGUAAUGGAUAGUAACUAAAACAUUUAUUAUCAUAUUCACUCCAUGGAUUGUUUUUAUUUUAACAGUAACAUGCCAUUCAACUUGCAACAUUGUAGGUACGACUAAGAUAAAAAAUCUCCACGAUAAUAUUGGUUCCGUGAAAGUGAAGCUUACAAAAGAUGAUUUAAAAGAGAUCUCUGAUGCAGUCCCCAUCGAUGAAGUGGCAGGGUCAAAAUCUGACAGCGCUAUUGGUCGGGUCAAUGCGCAAUUUGCCGAUACCCCACCCCCAAAAUGAACAUUGCAAGAUUGUUGAUAAAUCUUUGUAUGUUAUGUUUUCAAAUGUGGGCUUCUGAUAUUUGUAACAAUUUUGUCGUAGACAUAUUGCUACUACUCUUGGUUCAAUAAUGCAAGUAAUGUUUCUCUUCAGUCACUAGGGUUGUAUCAUGAACUAUGAAUUAUCGAUAAAUUAUUAGUAAUUUUUUUUUUAAAGAAUAGUUGGUAGAUAAUUCAGUCAGGCGUGGAUUGCAUAUUUUGGCAUGAUAUAUUACACUUUUGUGUCUAUUUAUAUAUUUGUAAUUAAGGCCAUAUGAUCAAUAAAAAAUCUUUAAACAAGUUCUUCAUAAAUUUUCUCCCGAAUAUGGGUAUUUCAUUGUUGUUUACUAGUGACUGAUGCAACUCAAUACUCAUUGACAAUAGCAAAGAAGAAAAAUGGUAAAAUAAAAUGUAGUUCACCACCAUAGUUAUUUACAUUAAUUCCUUUAUCUUGUGCAUUGAACUUUUCAAGUUGCAUUGUUGGGAAGUUGCCAUAAAGAACCAAAAUUAGAAAAGGCAUCAAUUCCUUAAUGGAAUAACGUUGUCCAAGAAUUUUUAGAGAAUGAAUUGAUCAAGCCUUUCGUUACACGAUCAACCACUUUUGAUAUUAUUAAAUGUUUUAGAGAAAAAUCUUAUUUUUCAAAAUAACGCAGAACAAAACUUUUAAUCCACAACGAUUUUUCUCGAAGUGGGCAUUGUUAAACCUUACAAAUUUUGAACCCAUCGUAACGUUGUUUGAUCUAUAGCUCACGCCCUUGCUUAAGCAAUAAAGAGGCUGUUUUAAUUCUUCUCUCUUUCAAAAAGUUAAUCAAAAGAACAAAAAAUAAAAUAUGGGAAUGACACCAAAAAGUAGUUUUCCAUCGUAAUGCUUUUCACAAGUUAUUCCUUUAACAGAUAAGGGCAAGAGGACAUGUGGGGUUGCAGACUAGCCUAAAAAUCCAAUUCAACUUGCUUUUAUGCCAAGUGUAUGGACCUUAUAUAAGGAGAGUGAGUGGUGUCGAAAUCGGUGCUUAGAUACUUCAACAUCAUAGAUGGCCAUGGGCCACCAUUGGAUUGGGUGGAAUUAGUUUUGUUCAUGCUGAUUCAUUAUUGCUCCAAGGAUAAACCAUGACAUUGGCUACUUAAUAAGAAAAAUCGUCAUAAAAUUUUAGUCAAAAAUACUAUGGUAAAUUAAGAUGGAUAUUAUUAUGUGGUUGUCAACUUGCGGUUGCAUGGAUUCUUCAUCAAGGAGACGAUAUUGUACCUAUUUCGGUAAGCCCAUUCAUAUUCUAAUCUUGCUUUAAAGUUUGAUAAGACUUCGGCAUACUUAGCUUGGGAAAUUGUGAUUAGUUAUAUAUAUUUUUAGAAAUUUCACUCGAAUUGAUGAUGAGUGACAUGUAUAUUAUUAUAUUGAUCUCCUAAGUUGUUUUAAUCUUAAUAUUUACAUAUCAUUCGAUCUUGUAAUUAUAGGUACAAUCAAAAUAAAAAAUCUUCAUGAAAAUAUUGAUUCUGUGAAAGUGAAAGUUAAAAAAAUUAUUUUAAAAAGAUAUCUAAUGCAGUCCUUGUCAAUGAAGUGACAGGCAUUGGCGGACCCACGGUGGGUCAAAUGACUCAUUGUGGAUCUUUUGCAAAGUUGAGCGAUCAUUUGGACUAUUAUCCCUUAUUUAUAUAUUUCUACGCGAGGCCAUAUGAGGUCUUUGAAAGAUGUAUGUGAUCAAUAAAAAAAUGAUGGAAAAUAUGCUAUGCAAAAAUUUGUCCAUAGUGGAAGAAUGCAAUUUUUUGGUUUUUUAUUUUUUAUUCAAUGUACAAGGAAUAUUUAAAUUUUAAAGCUCUUCGAAUGAUUAGUUAAACUGAUGUGAUUAUUGUUCGUUAGAUUCUUUAACAUUUUUUUUUUCUGUGAAUUAAUGAUCUAGUUAAAUUAUUCUUUUUUAAUUUUACUUUGUCAUGAAAAGAUUCAUGUUUAGAUUAAGAAUAAUGCUACGUAGCCCGAUGGAGUUGCAAUCCCAAUCUAGUUGGCACUAGAUGAUAGGGUGAAUGAAAUAUAAAAUUAAAUGAUUUAUUUAAUUUCACAUAUUGUUUAAUACUACAUUAACGCCACUAGACUGAGAUUUUAAUUUCAGUGAGACUAAGCAUUACUCUUAAAUUAAAUAGGGCUCUCUCUUUCUCUCUCUCCUUCCACCUUUUAUUCUACUGUUUUUGGAUUUCGUGUUUGCUUUGGUUAAGCUACAUUUCGAUUUUGAUGUUACUUGUUGAAAAAUUUCUAACAUCCUAAGAAUCUUUACAUACUUGAAGUUUCAUAUCUAAAGCGAUGGAGUUCGGAAGAAUUUGAAAUUCUGAUAUGAUUUUAGUAAUAGCAGUGCAAUUUUUUCUACCAUUAUAUAUUCUUUUCUGUUAAUAUGUGGGUGUUUUUUUUCUUUUUUUCAAAACCAUUAAAUUUUGUUCUUGCUUGAAGACAUGUUUACUUUUAUCCAUCACACUGGUUUUCAUUUAGCGAAUAACAGUAUAGUAGAUAACUUAGAAUUUUAUGAUUAGUCUACUAUUGUUAGCAGGGGCGGAGCUGCAUGGAGUCCAAUGUAGGCCACUGCCUGCACUGAACUUUCAGAAAAAACUGGAGCUCUCAUGAAGUUGCCUGGAUUUUGAGAAAACCUGGACAAUUGAUUCUUCAUUUGGGAUUUUGUUUUUAUGGUAUGAUUCUAAGGCCUUUAUUUGAUGAAUCUAAGUCAUUUACCAAUCAAAUGUUUGAAUUCGCUCACCCAUAUAUAUAUAUAUAGACACACGCACACACACGUGUGUUGGCUGUGUAAGUUAAUGAAUGUGAGGGAGCGAGGGGGAGAGAGAGCGAGAGUGCACAAGUGUGUGAAAGAUAGUGAGUGGAGAUAAUUGAGAGAGAGAGCGAGAGGGAGGGCACGUGUAUGUGAAAGUAAGCGAGAGAGUGCACAAGUGUUAGAAAGAUAGUGAGUGGAAAUAAUUGAUAAUUGAUUGCUGUGUAUGUGUGGAGUUUUUUUACACAUUUGAGAUAAAAUUUGUGUUAAGUUUAUUCCUUAAAUAAAAUUCCAUUUGAUUUGGGAUUUAAAUUCAACAUAUGCCUGUGUAAAGAAAUAUAUUAUUGUAUUAAAAAAAAAACCAAUGCACUAACUGGACCAAAAGGAAAUAAUUGAUAAUUGAGUGUUGUGUAUGUGUGGAGUUUAUUUACACAUUUGAGCUAAAAUUUGUGUAAGUUUAUUUCUUAAAUAAAAUUCUAUUUGAUUUGGGAUUUAAAUUCAACAUAUAAAUGUGUAAAGAAAUAUAUUGUUGUAUUAAAAAAAAAAAAAAAAAACAAAUGCACUAACUGGACCAAAAAUUUCCUUUUUAAUUUUACAUGAUCUAAUGGGAGUACACUCCAUUCAAAUCCUCACGUCUCCAUAAUUAGAGCUCAUAUCUAGAUUAAUUACAAAAUAUCUUUCCCUAUUUUAUACCAAACUCGAACCUUCAAACUUUUUUGAGAAUUCAUCUCCAUCUUUAUAUGAAUAUUAAAUCAAAGUCACAAUAGUUUUUUGGUUAAAAAAUUUCAUUGUAGUUGUUCAAAAUCUCAUGUUUUCUUAUGCGCUAGGAUUUAUAAAGAUUAUGCUCAUGUUUUCUUAUGAACCAGGAUUUCCUAAGAUCACGUGAAAUUCUUUUCGUGAAAAGAAUAAUUGACCAAAAAAAUCAUUGUAGUCGAUUUCUAAAAUUACGCCCGCACGCUCAGAAAAAUAUUAAAUUUGCAGACGCAUCAAAAGUGUGAAACCAUGGAAAAAAAAAUUAUUCCUUGGAGUCAAUAAUUAUAUAUGGUGGAUAAUAUUUUAUAGAUUGAAUUCUUUUUGAUUGUCUAUUUUUAAUAAGAGAUAUAAAUAUAGAACAUGUGUCAUAUUUACGUGUGAAGAGAUAUAAAUAUAAAAUGUGUUUCAUAUGUACGUGUGAAGCAACAUAUUAUCAUAGUUAUUAAAAUCGGAUCGGAUGUCCGAGUGAUUUAAUUGAUUAAGCAAGCAUAUGAAUCGGUCAAGAAUCGGUUAAACCAUUAACCAACCCUUUGUACCAAACGAUUUUAGGUGGAACCAGAUCCGGUUCAAUGUGUGAAUCGAAUGGCUACUAAAUUGAAGUAAAAUUUUAUGUUAAAUUUGCUAAAAAGCUUUGUUUCGAACUUUGGCAACAAAGGAGACAUCUUACUCUAUGACCACUAUGGCAACUAAUGGUCCUUAAUCAUCUAAUGUGAGCAAUAUAUAUAUAUAUUAGAUUUCGAAAAAUGGUUUCUUUUUUUCUUUCAAAAAUAUAAUAUAAUUAAAAUUAAAGUCUAAUAAUAAUCCCCCGAUUGAAUUGCUGAUCCACCGAUUGAACCAUUGACUCGAAGAUUUUUUCGGAUCUACCACUGAGCAGUGAGUAUGGUCUAAUAUCUAUGCAUAUUACCAUUGAUGCAAAAUUGACAUGUGGUCUAAGAUAAGAUAAGGAAGAUAUUUAUAGAUAGAAAUUGGCAAGUGGCCUAAAAUAAAAGAAGAUAUUUAUGGAUAGGGUCAAAGUGUCAAGUUUUGAUUUAAUUUGGCCCUUGAUCAAACAUGGAUGAAUACACACCUAUAAAUGAGUGUUACUCAUCAACAUGAUGACGAACAUUUUAUACCCAUAUGAUAUAGAAUUUUGAAUAAAUGAGUUUGUAUCAAAUGAUUUAUUAUUGUUGUUAUUAUUAUUAUUAUUUUUUGGAAAAUACUAAAAAUAAAAUAAAAAAUUCAUGAAUCCUUGCAUAUUUUAUUCAGAGAAUCCAUAAUUGAGAAUGAAUUCAUAAAAAAUAAGUUUUAGAAAAAGGGUACUUACAAGGCUUAAUGUAGCUGAAGAGUCCUUAAGCCCCCAUUGGACCCCUAUUAAUUCUCAUUCUAUUCCAUUUCAUUUUUCUCCCUUCUUCUUUCAACAACACAAUUUUCCAUGCAAUAAUAUUAUACGUAAAUGAAAAAUUUUUCAAAAAAAUACAAUUUUCAUUUACACAAAAUGGGGGCCAAACAGGGACAAAUAAAUGUUUAAUGUCUAAAAAGGUGAAGGCAUGCUACUUGGACAUGGAGGUGUCCAAAUAGGGGGCGAUGUGGCGCCCAUAUCGGCGCAAUAGAUCCAAGAAAACAAAUUCAAAUAAGGGAAUAAUUUGCUUUGGCAUUUAAUCAUGAAGAAACAUGAUAUAUAUCAAUGUCCUACAUUGCCCCCUAUUGGCGCAAUAGAUGCAAGAAGAAAAAUUCAAAAAGGUAAUAGUUUGAUUUGGCAUUUAAUCAUAAAGAAACACGAUAUAUAUCAAUGUCCUAGAAUGAUAUGAAUGCGUUUAAAUAUACACUUAUUUUACAUACCAUCUCAUAUUUAUCAUUUUGAAUAUCGAUAAAAAAGAAUUUAAUAUAAAAGUACCCAUAAUCAUAGAUAUUUUUUUUUGUCAAAUAAGUAAUUUUUAAAAAUAAAAAUACCAUGAUCAUAGAUGUUUUAAUGUCCCUUAAAAAAAAAAAAAAAACUCUUGAGCCUCAUUUUUUUAUUAAAAUAUAUUUUUCAACAGUAUUUGACUCCAGUUCGACUACACAUUAUUUAAUAAAAUAAUUUACAUGUAAAUUCAUGACUUUUUUUAAUCACACAUUUUGAUCCGUACAAUAUUUAAAAAUGCUUCUUCUUUUUUUUUUUUAUUAUAAAAAUAGAUCUAGGGCUAAGUGAAAAGCGAACUCGCUUACGUCAGCCAUGUGUAAUGGUGUCUAUAGAUAGGCUCAAUUGCUGGACACUAGAGCCAUCUCACUGAAAGCAGCACUGUCUAGUUCAAAGAUAGAGAAGAAACUUUCGCAAUGGCUGAACAAAUCGAGAUGCCGCGCGUGAAACUUGGAACCCAAGGACUCGAGGUAUAUGUUAAAUUUGAUUAAUUCAGUUUCGGAUUCGAUUCAAUUUGUAGAUCUGAAUUGAAUUUUUUCUAUACCCUAUAAAACAUGUGAUCUUUCGGUAACCUUACCGAUUAUUGCUUAGAAUCCUAAAAACAACCCAUUUGUUCGUGAAUAAGCUACUGAUUGCGUAUUUAUGACAAAUUUUUACCGUUCUGUUGAGGUGUCUCGCGGUGUUGCGUACGUGGCUGACGGUGCCGGGGAAUUGGCAUUAAUAAGCUAGAAACUCUAGUUCCACAUUUGAUUGUGGUUUCACAACUGUUAUUUAUUAUUUAAACGUUUUGAUGCUUUCAUUUUUUUGGAGCUCUUUGGUUUUGUUUUGCCGUUUAAGUUUGGCCAUAGGACAUAUCACCAAAUUCGUUAAAUCGAUUAAUUUAGUUGGAUAGGUGGUUAACGACUUAAUAAAAGUUGGGUACUUGAAGUUUCACAUUUUGAAAAAUUAAUUGUUUCAAUGGUCGAUGAACUUAGGUCCAUGUCUUUUUUCAUUGGUCACUCAAGUUUAAAAUGUCAAGAUUUGGUUAUUGAACUUAGAUCAAUAUUUUCGAUUGCUCUUCGAACUUAGGUCCAUGUCUUAUAUUUUUCAUUGAAAUUUAAAAUGUCGAGUUUUGACCACUGAAUUUUGGAUUAUACCGUAUGUUACUUAUUAGCUAGCAUAAUUGUUGAAUUUUGAAAAAUAUCAAGUUUACAGUGAAUAAUACACAGCAAUUUUCAAAAUUUAUUGAGUAAUGUACAACAUUUUUCAAAAUUCAUUUGACAAAACUCGAUAUUUUAAACUUCAAUGAGCAAUUGAAGGCAUGAACCUAAAUUUAGUGACCAAAAUUCGACAUUUUUAAUUUCUGUGACCAUUCAAAGACAUGGACUCAAGUUCGGUGACUAUGGGAACAAUUAACUCCACUUUGAAAAUUUGGCUACCAACAGAGUUUUUAAACCCUCUUUAAGACAUGAGAAAUCAGAAAUAUAGUUGAUUAAAGAAAGACGAAGAAUAUACAUAUAGAAUUCUUGCAGACUGAUGUUGUUUGUGCAUUCCCACCCCGCAUUAAGCUCCAGCAAAUUGAUUGGAAGAUAAUGCAAUGAUUCAUUUGUUUUCUUCAAAUAAUACUUUCUUAAAUCUCUUUACUUCAUCCAAUGACUUGUUUUUUCUCUUAGGUAUCAAGGCUAGGUUAUGGUUGUAUGGGGCUUUCAGGUGCCUACGGUAAUCCUGUCCCUGAGGAGGAUGCAAUUGCAGUAAUCAAAGAGGCAUUUAGUAAAGGCAUCACAUUUUUUGACACAUCGGAUGCUUAUGGUCCGGACCAUGCCAAUGAGUACCUGGUGGGGAAGGUAGGUGCUUUACUGAGAUACUUACUCUUGAUCAUGGCAGCACAUUUGAAUUUAUGUGCUGGCAAGAUACUUCUUUUGUCAUCGAAAGUUGAUGUGAACAACAAUAAUGGUAUUCUAUGGCAUCAAGCUGAUCUAAAUAAAGUUCCAUUUCCUUGCGUAUAACUCUGCGAUAAUAAAACAACACGUGGAAAUUUUGUGACAGAAAGAAAAAGGACAGACAGCUUCAUUUCGCGAAUAUAUCCGUUGAAACUUCUUGUGUUUAUUGAAAAUAUUAUUGAACUUAACGUGAUUGAAUUUUUUCUUCAAAAGUUGAGAACAAUAGUUGAUAAAAGUCCAGCUAUCGGCUAUUGUAUCUGUAAGUUAUAUAAAGUGUGUGAUAUUAAAAAAACUGAAUUGGCGAACAAUUAUCUCUUUGAAAAAAAUAUAAUUUUGUCUUUAGAUGAUUCUUGAAGUUAUGUUUAACUUAAAGUUUCCCUUCCUGGCCUCUUAUUAGAUUAUUAUUAAUUCAGAAACCAGUAAAUGUAACCAUAAGCACUUCAUGGUCACCUUUGAGUUGUCUUAACUUAGGGAAUUCAUAUUUUGCAGGCAUUAAAGCAGUUACCGCGAGAAAAAGUCCAAUUAGCUACAAAGUUUGGUGUAGCCGGGUAUGAUGCAUCUGGAGUUAUAGUGAAAGGUUCACCUGAAUAUGCCCGCUCUUGCUGUGAGGCUAGCCUGAAGGUUCUUGGCGUGGACUAUAUCGAUCUUUACUACAUACACAGAAUUGAUGCUACUGUGCCUAUUGAAUACACAGUGAGUUUUUCAUUUUUAAAACUUUGGGGCCACUAACCACGUUUUCUCUUUGCUUGCAUUCAUUUUUCUUAUCAUUCUUUCGUUUCCUUUUAACAAUAUGAUCGCACUUGUUGAUAAAAUUGUUUUUGAGUUGUAGAUUGGAGAACUUAAAAAGCUAGUUAAUGAAGGUAAAAUAAGAUAUAUUGGAUUGUCUGAAGCUAGCCCAGACACAAUAAGGAGAGCUCAUGCAGUUCAUCCUAUUACUGCAAUUCAAAUGGACUAUUCCCUUUGGAUUCGUGACAUUGAAGAAAAAAUAAUUCCACUUUGCAGGUUUCCAUAUUUCUUAAAUAUUUCCGUUGUAACUCUGAUUAAAUAUUACAUUUUCAGCUAACUAUUUGGUCAGUUUCUACUUUCUCAUGUUUAAAUUUUUAGAUUAAUUUCGUACAAUAUAAAUUUCUUGACGUCAUUUUCAUCCUAGGAUUAACAGUACAGUGCUCUGCUCCUAUUUUCUAUUAUAAUCCUUUAUGUUUUUAUAUUUUUCUUCAUGAAGUUAAUUUUGCAACAUUAAGUAAUUAAAACUACAAUCGCAGUUAGUGUGUUGAACAUUAUGCUUUUAAUGAGAAUACUGGAAGUAUUUUUACUACCCUCUUUUUAUCAAUGCUUCGAUACCUUGAUUCGUCUUCUUUCAACUACUACGCUUCAAGUUUGUGUAGUUUCGCAUCUUAUUUUUAUGCUUCCUAUUCAAAAAUUGUGAUCUCAUAAAUUGUUUCUUUUUGGGAAUGGAUACAGGGAACUUGGGAUCGGAAUAGUUCCCUACAGUCCCUUAGGUCGAGGGUUUUUUGCUGGGAAGGCAAUCGUGGAAAGUGCGGAUCCAAAUAGCUCAUUGGUGUGUGCGCAUCUAUAUUUUCUAAUCUUCAUUGCAUUAUAUCUUCUUUAGUAUCAAAGAUCAUAUAGUAGUUUAUUCACUCUUGUAAUCUCUAGUUGCUGAAAAGCUGUGUAAUUUUCGUACUAUCAGACAAGUCACCCAAGGCUUCAAGGAGAGAAUUUUGAGAAGAACAAAGUCCUAUAUUUUCGCAUAGAAGCGUUGGCUAAGAAGCAUGGAUGCACACCAGCUCAACUUGCGAUCGCAUGGGUUCUUCAUCAAGGAGAUGAUAUUGUACCUAUUCCAGGUAAGCCAAUCAUAUAAGAAGCUUUGCUUUAAAUGCUCUAGUGGAAACCAUGUUGGACAGAUUGGAAAUGUAGAGAUUUAAAGAAAUUGGAUCUAUAUGUUUAAAUUAGCCUAGUGUACGAGAUGAUCAGCCUUUCCCUUGGGGGGUUCAUGUACUUGAGAUUAGUAAGACUUUGGUAUAAUUAUCGAGUCUUUUUGUUUCUUGAUUAGAUAUUAGUAUGCUUCUUGGAUUGUCAUCAUAAAUUAUUGUUGUUUUAAAUAGGUAAGAACUUAUUCUCUAUGGAUAUCCUACACUUUCAAGUUGUGGGUUUCAAGACCCACUUUAGAAGUAGAAAUUAUAUUCAUUUGUGCCUGUAGAUCUCCUCACGGUUGAGAGAUUUAUUUUUGGAUAAAUCUUGGUGUACAUAAAAUAUGUACAAAGGGGUGUCCACAUCCCUUAGAUGGGGUGGUUCCUACCUUGUGCGGUCUCAAGUACAUGUGGGAUGUGGACACCCCUGUAUAUCCAAAUUAUGUACACCAAGUACAACCCUUUAUUAGACUUGUUUCUAAUGAUAUUUUUCAUCAUCUUUAUGGGCC
rnacentral:lncRNA from 1 species